rnacentral:lncRNA from 1 species
AGCUUUCCUUCCCUUCAUUAAGGUACUACGACUCACCACAACAUGGUCGCCGGCUGCUGCACCAACGAGGUGACGGUCAACGUCAGCGUCCACAGGAUGUGGAAGGCGGCCGCCUGCGAGGAUCACAUCCUGCUGCCAAAGAUCAUUCCUCAGUACUUCGCUGGCGCAGAGCUCGUCGGCGAUGGCGAAGCUGGCAGCACAAAGACCUUCCACUUCACUCCAGGUUUAGAUUUUGAUGCUGCUUUCCGACAUUCGUGUGCGUGCGAGAAGAGAUCGCAAAACAAGGAUAAAAAAUAAUCUCACAUCGAUAAAAAGAAUCGGAUGAUACAUAUCGAAACCUUUUUGGUUGAAUUGAUGUAUGAUCUGUUAAUUGGAACUAAUUUGGCUAUUGUUGCGAUCCAUCGAACUGCAGCCGCAGAGCCACUGACCUUCGUGAAGGACCAUGUUGAGGUGUUGGACCACGGAAGCCACACGAUGAGGUACAAGGCGAUCGAAGGAGGUCACCUCGGCCGCACGCUCAAGUCGCACGCGUUCGAGGUCAAGUUCGAAGCGGCGGGCGCCGACAGCUGUGUCGUGAAGACCAAGACAGAAUACGAUACGAUCGACGACGCGCCGCUGCCGGAGGACGAGGUGCAGAAGAUGACGGACGUGCCAGUACGGAUGAUGAAGUCGGUGGAAGCCUAUCUGAUAGCCAACCCCGGUGUUUGUGCCUGAGCCCCUGAGCCUCUGAGCCGGUGGGCUUUCGUGUACCGACGUUGGUGCUUCCAGUGUCGUAGUGCUUGUCAUUGGGCGUGGAUCAAUCAAUAAUGAGGUGAUGCAGCAGUGCUGGAAUCAUCACCUUUAGAGUGAGAGAGUGAGAGAGUGAGAGAGAGAUAGGACAUGACAUGUUGAUGCCAUCUCUCUCUUUGUCUGUUCUUUCCAUCUUCUGCAAUGUGGUGUUUUGUGUGGUCGUUGAAGGACAUAUAUCUACAAAUAAGAUGUGAUUUCUUUGGUAUCAUGUAAUCCUUCUUUUUUGGUAUCAUUCUUAGUAGUCUCUUUUAAAGAUUCAAAGACUAGCGUAAUCCAAAUUAAACAUGGAUUUAAUUGAUUUUACUUAAACUAUAUGAUACGUUUAUAAUGUUUGUUCGUAACGAGUCAACCUUCUCGUAAUUUUAUUUACUCUCAUCCAUAAAUAAAUCAGUUACCGAUAAAUGAAUGCAUGAACAAACAAAUCGAUGUCACCUUAGUAAAAUAUACCUUGGGAUUAUAUAACUAAAAUUGAACAAAAUACCUUCUUAGACGACUAAAAUGGAUGCAUUUUGCUGAAAGAUUUUACGAUAAAAAAUUGAAGGUUAAUUCGUCGUCCAUAAAGUUUAAGUACAUAAGUGAUAGGUUCAUCCAUCGUCCAUAAAGUUUAAGUACAUAAGUGAUAAAACUUCAUCCAAUCUUAUGUUUGUUCAAAAUUUAUAUAAUUAAAUUUGAACAAAAUAUCUUACUAAAAUGGAUGCAUUUUGCUUGCUCUGAAAAAAUUUUACGAUAAAAAAUUGAAGGCUAAUCCAUCGUCAAUAAAAUUUAAGUACAUAAGUGAUAACGUAUCUUAGAACUUUCAUCCAAUCUUGUGUCGGUUCAAAAUUAAAUGUUAACAUGACAUGAGAUUUGACGUAAUAGUGAUGUGACCUUAUCUACAAACUCGAUAGAAACAAAUUAAUUCUUCUAUUUUUUAAGAUAAAUACUGGUAAUACGGCAACAUCAAAAAUAUUAUAUCGUACAAUUUGGUUCUUCCUCUUAGUUUCAAACAUGAAGCUCCACAAAGACGGCAAUAAAAUAAAAUUAACGAAGAAAAAUGCAACACGACAUCAACUCAUCGUGAUCUCACUCACCCUAACAAAGAAUAUAAUAAUAAACUACACCGUUGAAUGAACUGUUAAUUCUUUCAUUAAAUGCAUGAAAUACAUUUAUGGUGAAACUUUGUUUCUAACAUACAUACAUACAUACAUACAUACAUACAUACAUAUUUUAAUCUGACUAGCAUAUGCUUGAAGAAUCCGAUCAUUCUCGACUACGGCUGAUGAUGAUAUGGGGCUGCUCAACAAUGAAGACCGCAAAGUCUGCAUGCUUGUGAGCUUUGAAGUCUUCGCUUCAGUCAACAAAUACUAGCUAGUUUGAAUGCUUCCAAGUUUACCAUGACACCCACUUCUUAGAACAUUGAAUUGGGAUGAGGAUGCCAACAAGAGAAGAUGAACCGAUUCAUUGGCAUGGAGCGAUCUUCGCGUCAUCUCAGACCCCCCCCUUUUUCCAAUCUAAUCGAUGAGGUUACCUAAAGUUCAAACUUCAUCUGGAAGCCCGAGAUGACCCGGCACUCCAUCGCCGUCUAUAAAUGGACUCUUCCCCUUCCCUUCACCACCAACCCAUCACAGCCUGCAGAGCUCUCAUCCGGCAAAACACCUUCAUCGACGCCAUGGUUGCCGGGUGCUGCACCGAAGAGCUGACGCUCAAUGUCAGCGUCCACAGAGUAUGGAAGGCGGCCGCCUGCGAGGAUCACAUCCUGCUGCCAAAGAUCAUGCCGCAGUACUUCUCCGGCGCCGAGCUCAUCGGGGAUGGUGAAGCUGGCAGCACCAAGAUCUUCCACUUCGAUCCAGGUUUGGAUUCACAUCACCAAUGCUUCUUUCAGGUAACAGGAAGAUCCGUAAACUAUGCUGAUUUCAACUGGCAAUUCUGUGGAUGAGACUGCAGGUAUGAAGCCACUGAUCUUCGUGAAGAACCAUGUCGAAGUGCUGGAUCAUGGGAGCCACACCUUGAAGUACAAGACCGUCGAGGGAGGCCACCUCGGCCACACGCUCAAGUCGCACACCAUCGAGCACAAGUACGACGCCUUGAGCGCCGACACCUGCUCUCUGAAGAUCAAGGUGGAGUAUGAUACCAUCGACGACAAGGGGCUCCCCGAGGAGGAGGUGAACAAGAUCAAGGAGGGGUCGGUAUGGGUCGCCAAGGCUGUGGAAGGUUACCUGACCACCAACCCCGCUGCUUAUGCCUAAGCCUCUGGAAACUAUCCGUAUUGUCUGUCAUGUGUGGCUUAAUAAUGGUGGCGAUGCAGCAAUACUACUCAUCGUCACCACGAGAGAGAGAGAGAGAGAGUGUGU